rnacentral:lncRNA from 1 species
AGCGUAUUGAAUAUUUGGAUAAUUGGUGUAGAUUGCCGUUCACACUAAUGUUACAACCUCCCAUACAUUUGUCAUUGAAAAUUAAAAAUCCCUAAUUCGUUCAUUGUCGGAAAAUGCAACAUUUAUUUGCAUUAGCUUAAAUCUAAAUGUGAGAGAAAUGCAAUGUUCGCCGAGCUUUCUCCUUUUCCGUAUUUUCCUACAAUAUACAGUACGAACUUAUGUUUUAGCAGACAAUUUAUAGUUAACGCA